UGAAUUCCUGCCCGACCAAGGUAGGGCCGCCAGUCGGAAGCGAGUCUUGCGUGGUGACCGAGGGCAACCCGGACCACGAAGCGUAGACAGCGAGCACGCGGGCUGCGGAAUCGGGCUCCGAAAGAAAGAAGUCGUGGAAGCCGACGGGACCGUAAGCCC
rfam:Sorangium cellulosum 'So ce 56' complete genome